GACGAACGCUGGCGGCGUGCUUAACACAUGCAAGUCGAACGAUGAAGCCGGAGCUUGCUCUGGUGAAUUAGUGGCGAACGGGUGAGUAACACGUGAGUAACCUGCCCUUGACUCUGGGAUAACUGCGGGAAACUGUAGCUAAUACCGGAUACGACCUUCGGAGGCAUCUCCUGGGGGUGGAAAGAAUUUCGGUCAAGGAUGGACUCGCGGCCUAUCAGCUAGUUGGGGAGGUAAAGGCUCACCAAGGCGACGACGGGUAGCCGGCCUGAGAGGGUAACCGGCCACACUGGGACUGAGACACGGCCCAGACUCCUACGGGAGGCAGCAGUGGGGAAUAUUGCACAAUGGGCGCAAGCCUGAUGCAGCAACGCCGCGUGAGGGAUGACGGCCUUCGGGUUGUAAACCUCUUUUAGCAGGGAAGAAGCGAAAGUGACGGUACCUGCAGAAAAAGCACCGGCUAACUACGUGCCAGCCGCCGCAGUAA
rnacentral:rRNA from 1 species